ensembl:lincRNA linc-3 ncRNA
GCAGAAAUUCCACAGAAAUGGCGGACUGGAAAUCCUGCGAAAGACACUGUUUUGAGCAAGGAGGAGACGCCGACAGGGCCUUUUUGGAAUGCGAUUUUAAGUGUAUGGACAAACACAUUACUCCGGAUGGAAAAAACUUAACCGAUAUUCAAGGUUUAGGAGAAUGCAUCCAAAAAUGUAGAGAUGAUUCUGAUUAAUUGUUGUAAGAACUCGUAAUUUUACAUUCAUAAAUGAUUAUUGUCUGCUGUGUUCUGGAGUUACCACGGAUAAGAAAAUGCAUCCGAAUGUGUAGAACUGAUUCUCAUUAAUUGUUAAGAGUCCUUAAUUUUACAUUCAUAAAUGAUUCUUGGA